AUUGAACGCUGGCGGCAGGCCUAACACAUGCAAGUCGAACGGUAACAGGGAUCAGCUUGCUGAUUCGCUGACGAGUGGCGGACGGGUGAGUCAUGUCUGGGAAACUGCCUGAUGGAGGGGGAUAACUACUGGAAACGGUAGCUAAUACCGCAUAACGUCGCAAGCCCAAAGAGGGGGACCUUCGGGCCUCUUGCCAUCGGCUGUGCCCAGAUGGGAUUAGCUAGUAGGUGGGGUAACGGCUCACCUAGGCGACGAUCCCUAGCUGGUCUGAGAGGAUGACCAGCCACACUGGAACUGAGACACGGUCCAGACUCCUACGGGAGGCAGCAGUGGGGAAUAUUGCACAAUGGGCGCAAGCCUGAUGCAGCCAUGCCGCGUGUAUGAAGAAGGCCUUCGGGUUGUAAAGUACUUUCAGCGGGGAGGAAGGGAGUAAAGUUAAUACCUUUGCUCAUUGACGGUACCCGCAGAAGAAGCACCGGCUAACUCCGUG
rnacentral:rRNA from 1 species